AUUGAACGCUGGCGGCAUGCUUUACACAUGCAAGUCGAACGGUAACAGGCCUUCGGGUGCUGACGAGUGGCGAACGGGUGAGUAAUGCAUCGGAACGUACCCAGAGGUGGGGGAUAACGCAGCGAAAGCUGUGCUAAUACCGCAUGUGAUCUGAGGAUGAAAGCGGGGGACCGAGCAGCAAUGUUUGGCCUCGCGCCUUUGGAGCGGCCGAUGUCGGAUUAGCUAGUUGGUGGGGUAAAGGCCUACCAAGGCGACGAUCCGUAGCUGGUCUGAGAGGACGACCAGCCACACUGGGACUGAGCCACGGCCCAGACUCCUGCGGGAGGCAGCAAUGGGGAAUUUUGGACAAUGGGCGCAAGCCUUAUCCAGCAAUGCCGCGUGCGGGAAGAAGGCCUUCGGGUUGUAAACCGCUUUUGGCAGGAACGAAACGGUGUCCGCUAAUACCGGGCGCUAAUGACGGUACCUGCAGAAUAAGCACCGGCUAACUACGUG
rnacentral:rRNA from 1 species